rnacentral:ncRNA from 2 species
AAUAUCCUUCGGGGUCGGGUGUAAGUCCCAACCGGCGGUGAUAAGGCAAUGCCUUUAAGCCCGUGACCCGUUUUCGUAUUUUUCGAUAACGGUGGAUCUAGUUAAAAUCUAGAGCCGACAGUAAAAGUCUGGAUGGGAGAAGGAUCAG